CGCACACAAGAAUACAAUUUAGUACUGUAAAUUACUGCUAUGACAAUGCAGUCAUUCUCAGAUAUGUUCCGCCUUCAUUUCCACGUAAUACAGGCCUAAAAAAUAUAUUCUCUUCCUGGAGCAAAAUAGUCCUCAGAAUCUCCUGUGGCUGUGUAUAAAUAUUUCUCAAAUUCAUUAAUAAUUCAUGAGCAAUUCAGCCAAUGAAAUCACCUAUUUGAUCACAAAUGGGAUAUCCAAAUGGGAUAUCCAAAUGGGAUAACCCGGUGAAACUUGAUGAAAGUCACUAGUGUUUUCAUCAAAUAUCUUAAUUACGCAUGCAAAAUUACUUCAGUAGAAUUCCUAAUUACGUUAUGCUUGGUUAACAAUUCUAUUCAAAUCAGCAAACGAAAACAUUCUGUUACGUCGCGAUUCAUUUGAGAAGCCAUAUAAACAACUCGAGCUCGUGUCUCACCGGGAUAUCCAAACACUCGAAAACAAUG